UUCUUUCAUUUGGCACAUGAAAUAUAGAUAACCUGGAUUCUUCAGUAAUGCAGUGUUGAACUUGAUCCCAGUUGGCAUCUGAAAAUACUGAUGACAUCAGACAGAAGGAAAAUUGGCUGAUUUAUGAUUUGCUUCAAUAUACUGGGUUUACAAUUGGAGAAGACCUGCUUUCCAAGAAAAAAAUUGUGUAUGCCUCAUCUACCUUAUCAAGUCGAAGAACUGUGGGAAAAUUUUGGUUGUGGAUUGUACUGUGUAUUGACUAUCCAAAUAAAUAAGACGUUUCCUUGGGUUGUCAUCCUA